GACGAACGCUGGCGGCGUGCUUAACACAUGCAAGUCGAACGGAAAGGCCCUUUCGGGGGUACUCGAGUGGCGAACGGGUGAGUAACACGUGGGUGAUCUGCCCUGCACUCUGGGAUAAGCCUGGGAAACUGGGUCUAAUACCGGAUAGGACCAUUGCUCUCAUGGGUGGUGGUGGAAAGCUUUUGCGGUGUGGGAUGGGCCCGCGGCCUAUCAGCUUGUUGGUGGGGUAAUGGCCUACCAAGGCGACGACGGGUAGCCGGCCUGAGAGGGUGACCGGCCACACUGGGACUGAGAUACGGCCCAGACUCCUACGGGAGGCAGCAGUGGGGAAUAUUGCACAAUGGGCGCAAGCCUGAUGCAGCGACGCCGCGUGGGGGAUGACGGCCUUCGGGUUGUAAACCUCUUUCGCCCAUGACGAAGCGCAAGUGACGGUAGUGGGAGAAGAAGCACCGGCCAACUACGUGCCAGCAGCCGCGGUAAUACGUAGGGUGCGAGCGUUGUCCGGAAUUACUGGGCGUAAAGAGCUCGUAGGUGGUUUGUCGCGUCGUCCGUGAAAACUCACAGCUUAACUGUGGGCGUGCGGGCGAUACGGGCAGACUUGAGUACUGCAGGGGAGACUGGAAUUUCCUGGUGUAGCGGUGGAAUGCGCAGAUCAUCCAGGAGGAACACCGGUGGGCGAAGGGCGGGUCUCUGGGCAGUAACUGACGCUGAGGAGCGAAAGCGUGGGGAGCGAACAGGAUUAGAUACCCUGGUAGUCCACGCCCGUAAACGGUGGGUACUAGGUGUGGGUUUCCUUCCUUGGGAUCCGUGCCGUAGCUAACGCAUUAAGUACCCCGCCUGGGGAGUACGGCCGCAAGGCUAAAACUCAAAGGAAUUGACGGGGGCCCGCACAAGCGGCGGAGCAUGUGGAUUAAUUCGAUGCAACGCGAAGAACCUUACCUGGGUUUGACAUGCACAGGACGCCGGCAGAGAUGUCGGUUCCCUUGUGGCCUGUGUGCAGGUGGUGCAUGGCUGUCGUCAGCUCGUGUCGUGAGAUGUUGGGUUAAGUCCCGCAACGAGCGCAACCCUUGUCUCAUGUUGCCAGCACGUUAUGGUGGGGACUCGUGAGAGACUGCCGGGGUCAACUCGGAGGAAGGUGGGGAUGACGUCAAGUCAUCAUGCCCCUUAUGUCCAGGGCUUCACACAUGCUACAAUGGCCGGUACAAAGGGCUGCGAUGCCGUGAGGCGGAGCGAAUCCUUUCAAAGCCGGUCUCAGUUCGGAUCGGGGUCUGCAACUCGACCCCGUGAAGUCGGAGUCGCUAGUAAUCGCAGAUCAGCAACGCUGCGGUGAAUACGUUCCCGGGCCUUGUACACACCGCCC
rnacentral:rRNA from 1 species